CUCUCAUAUGUCGAAGCACAACUGCUUAUUCACUUGGGACAUUUAUAUGGGCUGGCUCUCUCACACAGUUCUGCCCAGCUUCACACAUCUAGCAUCCCUGUGCAGUUCUUCUGGCAUUUUUAGCCACCCAACAAGCACCAUAACCACCACCACAGGACACCUGAAACAUGAAGGCCAAAGGUAUGACUUCUUUACAACACUUGGCUAGAUAAAGUCAUUCACUACCUUCUGUUGCUAUGGCACCAAGAAAACAUCCAAGCAAAGGAACAGUGCUCGUCAUGUCAGUGUCCACAAUAUCAGAGCUCAUAUCCAGCAGGGAGGAUUCAGACAUCUGGCAUAUGUAUGUGUGGUGAAGGUUCAUCACCUAAAGGAAUAAAGAGGAGAAACAACCUAUGAUGUACAAACAAACCAUCGGGGAGCAGAUGCUGUACAUCAUCUUUUAAAAAGUGAUUGACCUUCCCUCAUUAGAAGCGGCAGUAAGAGUCAGUAUGCUAACUCCGAGCCCAUGCUACAACUUAGAAACAUCUAACAGUUAUAGAACCACAGUAAAGACUCCACAGUAAAAAAUG